UAUGUUUCGUACAAUAAGAGAUGAGGUGUAAAGGAAUUUCGUGUUGAACAGAUGCACGGCCUAAAUAUUAUCGAGUGAGUUCUCAGAGAAGGUGAAAAGCCUGUUUGGCUGUGUCUGUCUGUUGAAUCGGAGUUCUUACGAGUCUAGUUGUUUGAGAGUACAACUUAAAGUUGGUGGUAAAUUUCAUCAAAGGCUAAAUAUAUGAGGGGACUAAUAGCGAACAAGUACCAUGAGGGAAAGUUGAAAAGAACUCUGACGAGAGAGUUCAACAGUGCGUGAAACCAUAUUGAGUAAAACAGAUAACUGUGUCGUUAUGUGGUGUGUCUAUCAACAGUAUAUCGGGCGUUGCGAUUCGGCGAGUGUGAGCUGUUUAUUCAGACGAUCGCUCGUUGCUAGCAUAGCUCGAGGUUCUGUGUACUAGUGCACAUCCAAUCAUUGAGAAACUAUGCUACUGCGGCAUCGGUGCACUUCAGCCCCCGCCUAGCGGGAAGUUGUGUACUGGGCUCAGCUGGCGGCGUAGUUUAGCUGUGUGACAGCUGUGGGAUGCGUUUGUUGAAUGUGCCUGCUUUGUCUGCGAAUCGGUUUAUUCCUUUUUGCGGUGAGUAUGGUACAGUAGGCGAGCGUCUCGCCAUCAAUGGUUGACAUUAGUUAUUUGACCCGCU
rnacentral:rRNA from 1 species